rnacentral:rRNA from 1 species
CACUUGUGACAGUAUUUGGCCACAGCUACGUGUCAAAGCCUUGGGCCUGGUUAGUACUUGGAUGGAGACCGCUGGGAAUACAGGGUGCCACAGUGG